rnacentral:lncRNA from 1 species
CCGCACUGCACAUCGCUGAUGGGCUGCUAACAAAUUGGUGUGUCCAAGGGCAUGUUCGACUACAGCCUCAGUUCCCCUCUGGAGGACAAUUUGUCAUCCACCCACGGACAAGAGUUCAUGCGGGGAGCUGAGGGCCUCAGCACUGUAAGCCAAGGGAACCUGGAGGAGUCUCGCCCACCUGUGCGUUGGGUGAUAGACACGCAGACAGACCUCAGUCCUGGCUGUGGAUCCAGCAGUGGGCCAUGAACUGACUCCAGGUCCUCUCCGCUGUGGUCUGGGAGCCCCUGGAGAAUACUGACUUAAAUAAUCACCCACAGAUGAGACAGCCUUUGUGGAAGUCCAGGAUUCCAACAAAGAAAGUUCUAGCACAACGUUGGAGCAAAAAAAUAUGAGUUUGGACACAUUGCAAAGGGCAAGAGGAACAGUUUGACUUUGUCCACAUCACCUCUCCCCUAAGGUGGCACAGCUCCAUGCCAAGACUGUCUCGGCCUGUGAUUUCUCCUGUGGGGUAAGUGAGAGUGUGUAAGUGCCUGGCUUUCCCAGCUGUGUGCGACAUUGCCAAGGAGGCCCAAUUCUCUUUCACCCCAUCCAGAGGUCUGAGCUGUGAGCUGCAUGACUUGGGGCAGGGAGAGGCUGGUAGAGCAGAGGAUAGGACACUCGGAGGGCAUUAAAGAGAUGGAGAUCCCACCAACUGUGUUGUGGACCCCAUCAGGAGCCCACCCAUGAGCCACUGGGAAUGCCUCAUCCAUGGAUCCCCCAAUUGGCACAUGGGUCCCCAGCGCUCUGUGCACCUUACCCACACCCCCUCAACACCCUGUGGUCGGCUCUCUGUGUGCACUGCCCAUGGUGUCCAGAGUGAGCUCCGGCAGAUGGCUAGUGGGCAUGCAGAGAAAGCCAGCUAGAGUCUGCAGGCCAAGAAGAGAUCACAGACUUGAGCUUUAG